UGGGCUGUACGAAGUGCUGCUACUCUGCCAUUCCCCUGUGGUGGUCCAAACUUGCUACUGGGUGAGAGUGUGCCCGGCAAGCUUUGUCUUCAGCUGGUAAGGUGUGGUUUGGAAACUGCAUCUAAACAUAGCACAAGAAGAGAAGAGAGUCUGUGCAUUGGAGGAGUAAAAGAUCUGUGUAAGGGCUGCAAAGAGAUCAAAUGCAAAAAGACUGCGUUCUGGCAAUAUAGCUUGAAGCACUGCAUGAAUAUGUAACUGCCUGAAGCCCUACUCAGCCUAUGUGUUGGUAGGAGCAGCUUUUAGGCUGGAUCCUCUUUGCCACCAUCAGCACCAGCUGAGAGCUCAGACUUUCUUUCAUCCUGCUCCUAUGGUUUUAUUGAACCUGCUCUAAGGAGAAAUGAAAUGCAUCUUUCAGAAAUACACAAAUGUUUUCUCAAACCUGAAGGGGGAAAAAGAAGUGAUGGUUUUAUGAGGAUAAAAUCCUAGCACUUUCACAUAAAAAGAGGAUAAUCUGUUUCCUUUUACUGCCCUAACUGGAAUUCAGAGGCUGAUCUGGGCCAGGCUCCCACUUCUUGUUCGUUUGAAAUAAUUUUCUAGGAACUGAGUGUCGGUUAAAAGCCUCUUGUAGUUGCGAAGUCUCCGCAAGAGUCACUGGAAAUCCACGUGCUUCUUUCUAGGCAGUGUAGACUGUUUAAUUUACUUAUUUUUUCUUUGGUAGAACUCCGAAGAGGAUGUCUUGAAGCCUUUAUAUAGCAGAAACAGCGGGCACAAGAAUAGUGAUGCAUUUGGUAAGGCAGCCUAUACUGACUGACAGCAUUCCCCAUCUUGGCACAGAACGGUUAAACCAGGCCCUUCCCCACCACGCUGGUAUGUUUGGGUGAAGAGGUGAUAUUUUUAAAAUCACAGCAUGUCUCAACGAUGAUGUUCCGAGUAUGCCUUCAUGCCGUCAUACGCAGCAAAAUCUAGAGAUGUUUUUCACUGUUGUGUGUGGGGCACCACAGAGUACAUGAAAUUAAGUGUGAACAAAACAAACUGAGAGUCAAACUUGCUUGAACGAGCAAGUGGGAUGCAAUAGCCUUCCUCCUGUGCGGUGUUUAGAAACUUCUAUCUGUCCAAGAUUGCUCUUCUGAUGCACUUAUAAGGGAUGAAUCAAAAGGAUCUCUCCAGCCUAAAUGUGCAAGGUGAGAGAGAGAGAGAGGCCUGGGAACACGGAGGCAGCAAAGCUACACAGUUUAAUUUUUGACAGUCUGUUUGGAUUUAAUUUGGGGCUGUAAGUGUUUUCUCUCUGCUGGGACAGGCAAACUCAGUGUGAGGUAUUUGCAUCAUCUACUUCAUGCAUCUGAGCCAGGAACGAGCUGAGGAAUGAAGCUGGGAGCCUACAUUGCCCGUGGAGCCACUGUUAAGAAGUAGGACUGUCUGCAAGGGACAGGGAUGUUUACUCUACCAAAGAAAGGUACCUCAGUUGCAGCAUUUUGAAGAUGUUAAGACAGAUCUGAAGAAUUUAAACCAUACCUGAUUCGAUUCUAGCCUGCCUACCUGGUCUGGAUCUGAAAGGUGAGACCAUCUUGUUUUUUUCUUUUUUUCACCAGCCCUUUGAGCUUCAAGUAAGGCAUUUAUUUAUUUUUUAAUGAGGUUUCAACAAAACACAAUCAAUAUCUGUGGGUUUGGUUGCCAUAGUAAACUUUAACACUUAGCAUGCUGACAUGGUCUGCACUUGUAGUCAAACACAUGCUUUGCCACCAAAAAGUUAGGGACUCCACUCAGCCUAAAAUCCAUGCUUGAGCGCACAACCAUUUUGUUGUCUGUCUCAGCCAAAUGGUUCAGCUGGUUGCCUUGCAUACUAUCUUAUUGCUUCUUCUGAUUCCCUCUACAUUUACCUCUUCUAGAGGUGUUUCUUGGAUGGAGCUGACAUCUGCACAGCUUUGAAGCUCUCCCUUCACUUAGGGCCACAUACAACACCCUCAGUCAAACCCAGUAAUUUCUUACAGCUUGUGAGUUUUCCUGUAUUGACCAGAAAGAUCUGCAAAGUUUCUGGAAGGGCUAGUGAGAAUUUGUGUAUACACAGAGUCUGGGCUUUGUGUCUAUUUUUUUGGUUGCUGCCUUCCCUCCUUAUUAAAUGUUGAAGUGAAACACUGACCUUCGCCGUGGUCAGCUUAAGGAAGAGAGAGCAAAUGUGACUAUGCAGCAGCUAGAUGUAUGUCUGUGGUGGUGUAAAAGUGUUUGGGUAUUGCAGUAAUUUUGGUUGCCCAGUUCACAAUGUAGUUUAACAGCCAGGUAGCUCAAGCAUACUGCCUAUGCUGCAGCAUGGUAAGGGCUUCAGUUUUCUGCUGGUGACGAAGGGUUUUGUUCAUGCUGUUACGGAGUAGGAACUACAACUGGCUUGAGAUGGGUCAUCCAAUGGGCCUUUCAAGUGCAAAUUCAAAUUGCACUCUGACCUGCGCCAAUUUUCUCUGUGCCACUUCCUCCUCUUGCUUUUGCGGUCCAGAAACUUCUCUUCUCCCCCCAUCCUGUACCUUUUCUUCUCUCCCUCUCCUGACUCUCUUUGCAGCCUCUCAGGCUGUUCCCAGCGAGGCUGGCUGCCCUGCCUCUUGUCCCAGGAUAAAUCCCCCUGCCUUUGUGCCUGCUGUCUCCAAGAGCCCCUGAUGAAAGAUCAGUGUGAGGGGG